UCAAGGUCAGUUGCCUUUAUACCAUUGGCUCGACAGAGCACAUACUGGUCGGGUCUCUCUUUUUAAGUCCUAGGUCAGUGAAGUAAGCUAAGAGGAGGGUUGGUUGUGACUUGAACUAGGUCCUUAGGUGCUUUGCCCCUUAAACUCGGAAGCCACGGCAGCAUCUUGUACUGGCCACGAGUUACCCAAGUAGUGUCCAAUCAUAUUAGUAAUCCAUGAAGGCCAUCUCUCGUCGUGACUGUACUGAGUGAAGGUGAGCCAAGGGGUUGGUUAGAUGUCAAUUUCCUGAGUUGCGGCUCACUUUCCGACUUUGUUGUUUCAUUAGAAGUUCAUGCUUGACGUACUUGCAAUGUUGCUGCGUAGAAGCAGAGAAUGUCAGGAAAGGAUAAAUACAAGCUUGACGGUGUUAAGACUCUGGACACACAUUAGAGCUUAACAGGCUUUCAACAGCAAAGUCCUACUCGGAAAGCAGAUACAAGUACAUAAGCAAAUGCAGGAUGCCGUUUUAUGCAGAAUCAAAAUAAGAGAGCAAAUUAACGCGUAGUUAAACGGGGUCGUGUUCUGGUUCUUUAUCAAUGAUGCAAAACGCUGAAUAGGUUUGUGAAAAUGUGUUGAAGAUAGAAGAUGCAAAUUCAUAAUGAUUUAGCACACAACAUAAUCUCCAAUUAAA